rnacentral:rRNA from 1 species
UAACAAUAACGGUCCUAAGGUAGCGAAAUUCCUUGUCGGGUAAGUUCCGACCUGCACGAAUGGCGUAACGAUGGCCACGCUGUCUCCACCCAAGACUCAGUGAAAUUGAAAUCGCUGUUAAGAUGCAGCGUAUCCGCGGCUAGACGGAAAGACCCCGUGAACCUUUACUGCAGCUUCACAGUGGAUCUUGAUGUUGCUUGUGUAGGAUAGGUGGGAGGCUUGGAAGCGAGGACGCCAGUCCGCGUGGAGCCGACCUUGAAAUACCACCCUGGCAAUAUUGAGGUUCUAACCCAGGUUCCUUACCGGGAUCGGGGACAUUGUGUGGUGGGCAGUUUGACUGGGGCGGUCUCCUCCCAAAGAGUAACGGAGGAGCACGAAGGUUGGCUAAGCACGGUCGGACAUCGUGCGGUUAGUGUAAAGGCACAAGCCAGCUUGACUGCGAGAGGAACGUCUCGAGCAGGUACGAAAGUAGGUCUUAGUGAUCCGGUGGUUCUGGAUGGAAGGGCCAUCGCUCAACGGAUAAAAGGUACUCCGGGGAUAACAGGCUGAUACCGCCCAAGAGUUCACAUCGACGGCGGUGUUUGGCACCUCGAUGUCGGCUCAUCACAUCCUGGGGCUGAAGCCGGUCCCAAGGGUAUGGCUGUUCGCCAUUUAAAGUGGUACGCGAGCUGGGUUUAGAACGUCGUGAGACAGUUCGGUCCCUAUCUGCCGUGGACGUUGGAAGUUUGAGGAGAGCUGCUCCUAGUACGAGAGGACCGGAGUGGACGAACCGCUGGUGUUCGGGUUGUGUCGCCAGACGCAUUGCCCGGUAGCUAAGUUCGGACGGGAUAACCGCUGAAGGCAUCUAAGCGGGAAGCCCCCUUCAAGAUGAGACUUCCCUGGAACGCAAGUUCCCAUAAGAGACGUUGAAGACUACGACGUUGAUAGGCGGGGUGUGUAAGCGUUGUGAGGCGUUGAGCUAACCCGUACUAAUGACUCGAGAGGC